GAUUAUGGCUCAGAACGAACGCUGGUGGCGUGUCUUAUACAUGCAAGUCGAGCGAGGCAGCAAUGCCGAGCGGCGAACGGGUGAGUAACGCGUAAGCAAUCUGCCCCAUAUCAGGAAAUACCCGUGCCAACGCGCGGUUAAUGUCCAGGAGAGUGGCCCUCUGCAUGGAGGGUUGACUAGAGAUUUAUCGGUAUGGGAUGAGCUUGCGUCCGAUUAGCUAGUUGGCGGGCAACGGCCCACCAAGGCGACGAUCGGUAGCCGGCCUGAGAGGGUGAUCGGCCACAUUGGGACUGAGAUACGGCCCAGACUCCUACGGGAGGCAGCAGUAGGGAAUAUUGCACAAUGGGGGAAACCCUGAUGCAGCAACGCCACGUGUGGGAAGAAAGCAUUUCGGUGUGUAAACCACUGUCAUGAGGGAAUAAGGCCUGUCUUCGGCCAGGACCUUGAAUGUACCUUGAGAGGAAGCACCGGCAAACUUCGUGCCAGCAGCAGC
rnacentral:rRNA from 1 species